rnacentral:tRNA from 1 species
GGCCCCGUAGUACAAUGGAUAGUAUAUAGGUUUCCGGAACCUGAGAUCUAGGUUCGAUUCCUAGCGGGGCCA